ACGAACGCUGGCGGCGUGCUUAACACAUGCAAGUCGAACGGUAAGGCCCCUUCGGGGGUACACGAGUGGCGAACGGGUGAGUAACACGUGAGCAACCUGCCCUUGACUUCGGAAUACCAGCUGGAAACAGCUGCUAAUACCGGAUAUGACACUUGCCCUCAUGGGUGGGUGUGGAAAGCUCCGGCGGUCAGGGAUGGGCUCGCGGCCUAUCAGCUUGUUGGUGAGGUAAUGGCUCACCAAGGCUUCGACGGGUAGCCGGCCUGAGAGGGCGACCGGCCACACUGGGACUGAGAUACGGCCCAGACUCCUACGGGAGGCAGCAGUGGGGAAUAUUGCACAAUGGGCGCAAGCCUGAUGCAGCAACGCCGCGUGCGGGAUGACGGCCUUCGGGUUGUAAACCGCUUUCAGUAGGGACGAAGCUAACGUGACGGUACCUACAGAAGAAGGACCGGCUAACUACGU
rnacentral:rRNA from 1 species